UUACGGCCAUAUCACGUUGAAACAUCGGUUCUCGUCCGGUCACCGAAGUUAAGCAACAUCGAGCCUGGUCAAUAACUAGAUAGGUGACCGCUUGGGAAUAUCAGGUCCUGG